rnacentral:rRNA from 1 species
UGCGUAGGUGGUGGGGUAAGUCGGAUGUGAAAUCUCCGAGCUCAACUCGGAAAUGGCAUUGGAAACUACCCUGCUAGAGGGUCGGAGGGGGGACUGGAAUGCUUGGUGUAGCAGUGAAAUGCGUAGAUAUCAAGCGGAACACCAGUGGCGAAGGCGAGUCCCUGGACGACUCCUGACACUGAGGCACGAAAGGCUAGGGAGCAAACA